AGUCGCUAAUGUCAGAGAAUCCGUCCCCGUUCUCCUCAGGAUCCCGCCCACACACCGAGCCGCUGGGCAGUCCGGUGUCAGCCGACAUUGUGAUUAGUGCUGCAUGGGGAGGAUUAGGACAUCAAUACAAAUGUGGCACAUACACAAAAGAGUGUGCAAAAUAUUCAGAAGAGAAACGUAGUGCCCAGUGUCAGAAGCUGCGUCUCAUUUGCAAGUCAUGGGUUCGUCAGCAGCAUAAGGACCCAAAUCAUAACUCAAAAAGCACCAAAGAAUAGAUGAUGUUUUCAACUGGACUUUACUGUGAUCCCUCAUUCUGGACUCUCAUCAUCUUAUGAAAGAAAAUAUUUUUGACUUAAUAUUUUGAGUACUAUGUCCAUUUAAAUCAUUUUUUUCAUGCUAUUUUGGUGAUAAUUGCUGUCUGCGGAAUAUUAAUGGAGCUGUUCUUAUAGAGCUGAUACUCCAUAUCAGUGAAUCCCAAUCAUGGUGCAGCCGGAACACCUUUCCUAGCAUUGCACUACACAUUUUGGCCUAGAUGACAAGUAGAGGGCAAAAAUAUUACGCUAUUAAGCAAUAACACUGCUCAAGUUAAAUCAAUAGUGCUCUUAUUCCUGCACUCAUAUUACAAGCUGAAAGUAAAAUGGUAGUGCUCGAGCAAAAGCCUUAAGCAUGCUAACAUCCAGAGGUCAGAUAGCGUGGUUGUGCUAACUCCCUCACCUAAUAGACAUCAAUGGGGAGCUCUAUAAAACUCAUGUCCUGGCUUUUGCUCGAGCAAUAACCUAAAAGUGUGCUUAGCCGAAGUUGAGUCAAAAAGUUGAAAAAUUUUGUUCUUCACACCUUGUCAUAUACCAUAUCAAACUUUGUAAACAUUUAUUUUGAUAAAACAUAUACUUUACUUUUAA